UAANCGAUGGAUACUAGNUGUUCGGGAGCAAUCUCGGUGGCUAAGCGAAAGUGAUAAGUAUCCCCACCUGGGGAGUACGAACGCAANUUUGAAACCUCAAAGGAAUUGACCGGGGGCCCGCACAAGCGGUGGAGCAUGUGGUUUAAUUCGAUGAUACGCGAGGAACCUUACCAAGGCUUAAAUGGGAAACGACAGUUGUGGAAACAUGACCUUCUUCGGACGUUUUUCAAGGUGCUGCAUGGUUGUCGUCAGCUCGUGCCGUGAGGUGUCAGGUUAAGUCCUAUAACGAGCGCAACCCCUGUUGUUAGUUGCCAGCGAGUAAGGUCGGGAACUCUAACAAGACUGCCAGUGCAAACUGUGAGGAAGGUGGGGAUGACGUCAAAUCAUCACGGCCCUUACGCCUUGGGCUACACACGUGCUACAAUGGACGGUACCAGAGAGCAGCCACUGGGUGACCAGGAGCGAAUCUACAAAACCGUUCUCAGUUCGGAUCGGAGUCUGCAACUCGGCUCCGUGAAGCUGGAAUCGCUAGUAAUCGGAUAUCAGCCAUGAUCCGGUGAAUACGUUCCCGGGCCUUGUACACACCGCCCGUCAAGCCAUGGAAGCUGGGGGUGCCUGAAGUCGGUGACCGCAAGGAGCUGCCUAGGGUAAAACUGGUAACUAGGGCUAAGUCGUAANCAAGGUACC
rnacentral:rRNA from 1 species